rnacentral:rRNA from 1 species
UACGUAGGGGGCUAGCGUUGUCCGGAUUUAUUGGGCGUAAAGAGCGUGUAGGUGGCCAUGUAGGUCCGGUGUGAAAACUCGAGGCUUAACCUCGAGAUGUCAUCGGAAACCAUUUGGCUAGAGUCCGGAAGAGGAGAGUGGAAUUCCUGGUGUAGCGGUGAAAUGCGCAGAUAUCAGGAAGAACACCAAUGGCGAAAGCAGCUCUCUGGGACGGUACUGACGCUGAGACGCGAAAGCGUGGGGAGCGAACAGG